ensembl:lncRNA
CCAGAAACCACCAUGGGUUUGCCUGCGUCUUCCUGCUGCAAGAGGUGAGGAGUGUUCAGCUUUCCUUUCUCAUGGGAGCUGUUGACCCUCAUCUGACCUUUGUGAUGGCUGAAAAAUGAAGAGGAAAAUGGAGACUCUCUUCUCAAGACAGUAAAAAUAAAUUUCUCUGGUUAUAUAGGUUAUUGGGGAGCCAAAGAAGGAAGUCAACGCAAAUAUGCGAUGUCAUUGAAGCCAAUUCAUCGUUUUGUUUGGUUGAUGAAUGAGCAUUGCCUCGGUCAUCAAUAACAAUACAUGUUUAUCAAGUGCUUGCUGAGUGCCAGAGCCUGUGCUAAGUAUAAUGCUUGACACCUCCUUCAGCAGAAACCCAUGAGGGAUGUGGUGCCACCACCAGCUAACAAGUAAGUAUGUGAAAUGAAGCCCUGCCUGGGCCCAGAGCUGGGGUGGCCUGGGUCUGUA